rnacentral:lncRNA from 1 species
GUUAUGAUGCCCAACUUAACAACCUUGACUGUGCAUCAAUGUGAUAGUUUAAGAUUCUUGUUUUCGAGUUCCAUGGCUAAAUGUCUCAGACAACUCAAAAAUCUCAAGAUAUCGAAUUGUCAAAUUAUGGAAGAGAUAGUCGGAAAUGAGGAGAAUACAUAUGAUAUGUUUGAUAAGCUAAGUCGUCUAGAGUUACAACAUCUUCCAAGCCUUGCUAGAUUCAGCUCAGGAAGUUACAUUAAAUUUCCAUCUUUGGUGUUUUUGGAUCUAGACGAUUGUACUAAACUGGAGACAUUCAUCUUUGAUGCCAAGAGUGAAAAUAUUACAACCAACAAAGAAGAAAGAGAUAUUGAGCUCUUUGAUGAAAAGGUGAAUUAUAACUUAACUUCUUUUCUUUAUGCUUUCAUUUCCAACUUAUGCAUGCGUCCCACUCUUUCUAAAAUGAAUAUGUGACAGGUAGAAUUUCCUAGCUUGGAGAUAUUGUGGAUACAAGGACUUAUUUAAAUUGAAGACAAUAUUCCACAACCAACUACAUUCAGAUUCUUUUGCUAAGCUCAGAAUUAUGGAUGUUAAUAGGUGCCACAAUUUGAUUAAUAUCUUUGGGCCAAGUAUCAUGGGAAGAUUGAAUGCUCUAGAGUCCUUAUAUAUAAAGCAAUGCCAGUCACUACAAGUAGUAUAUGACUCAUCAUCUACCGCUCAGUUGAACAAUUUUGAUUGCCCGAAUCUAAAUUUAGUUGAGAUAUCCUCAUGUGAGAGUUUGAAGAAUUUAUUUCCCGUCUCAGUAGCCAAAAAUCUUAAGCAGCUAAGCAAGUUCAAGGUCGAGAAUUGUGGUUUAAUGGAGGAAAUUGUCACGAUGGAAGAAGGACCAAAAAGGACACAUGAGGAGUUCAGGUUCCCUAAAGUAGAAAUAGUGAUAUUUGAAAAUCUACCCCGGCUUCGGAGUUUCUAUCAUGGACUGCAUGUCUCUAAUUGGCCAUUACUCAACGAAUUGAGCUUCAUUGAAUGUGGUAGUGUGGAGAUUUUUUUCUAAAUUUUCAACAUAUCACGACAAACUUGAGUUGAGACACCCAACACCAAUGAAACAGCCUUUCUUUUUAAUUGACAAGGUAAGCAUACUUGUACACAAUUUUUUUAAGUAUAAUUAGAUUGUCAUCCUUGAAUAUGAUGCGUUUCUCAUUAAAACCACCAAUUCUUGAUAUUAAGAUUUAUUUUUUCAAUACGCCAAAGAGAGAUUAUAUUCACACCUCAAAUUACUUGUCCCACAUUUUUUUUCUUUUUAACAUUUUUGACACACCACUAACACUUGAUAGAAAAAUAUUAAAAAAUUAAAAAGGUGUGGGGGAAGUAAUUUGGGAAAUUUGGAAAAGUAGCCAAAAUUUUGACCAUAAAUUAAAUUAUAACCAACUAUUAUAAAUUUUUAUAAUGCUAACCAAAAUUUGACAUGAAAAAUACUAAAAUCCUUUUACUAUAGUAUUUUUAUGUUAAAUUCAACGAAUUUUGCAACAAAGGAAAUUUCAGGGGAGACGCUUAUUUUCACAAAUCUGACAGGCCAAAAGGGAUUUAUUCUUCAAUCUUCCCAAAUUGGUCGUCCCAUAUUCUUUGAAGGAGCAAUCAAAUUGAAGGGCUAGGCUUUUGGGUUUGAUUCAUGAAUUUAAAGUGUGAAGGAGAUGCAAUUGAUAUUGCUGCUAUUGUGUUUGGGGAAGUGAGAGAGAGGAGGAUGAAAGGCUUCUUUUUCUUAACUUUUGCUUUUAUUUGUAUUUAAUUUUAUUGAGAGUUGAUAGGGUUAUGUUAGGUUUAAGUUUGUGCACAGGUGUCAAGUAUUGAGAUGUGUCAUAAAGAUGCUACUUAUUUUAACUGUAAAAAAUUUGAAACCGGCUCUAACUAUCAGGAUAAUUCACAACUUGCCACUUGCCACUAAAGACCGUUCACAAUAAUGUGUUUUUGGUAUUAAUUUAAAUAAGAUAGGUUUUUUUUUGUAAAAAAUAAAAUAGUUUAAAUUUGAAAUUAAAUUGACAUAAUUUUGGCCCUAUAUUAUUUUUUCCAGAUAAUUUUUACUCCAAUUUGUUCUUUGCGAAUUAAUGAAGGUACAAGGACAUAUAUUUGUUCAGUAGCCUAGUAGCUUACUUUUUAAAUAUAUAUGAUAUUUACUUUAUAUCUACACAUUUUGGAAUGUAUACGGCUAACAAUAAUAUAAAUUGUAAUUUCCUAAUACAAACAUGAAUUCUGUUAUGUGCUAUGCAGGUUAUGAUGCCCAACUUAACAACCUUGAUUGUGCAUCAAUGUGAUAGUUUAAGAUUCUUGUUUUCGAGUUCCAUGGCUAAAUGUCUCAGACAAUUCAAAAAUCUCAAGAUAUCCAAUUGUCAAAUCAUGGAAGAGAUAGUGAGAAAUGAGGAGAAUACAGAUGAUAUGUUUGAUAAGCUAAACCGUCUAGAGUUACAACAUCUUCCAAA